CUGGCACUUCCCUGUGUCCCUUUGCAUUUACACUGGUUUUCCUCAUUCUUUAAAAUGCAGAUUACUCCAUGAAAUAAAUGCGAUGUGGGGACCUGCUUACAGAGUGCGUUUGUGAUUGCUCGUGGUGAAAGCAAAACAGAACAGCUUUAUCCGUCUUGUAUUCUGAAGAAUUGCUUCCUCUGUGAGAUUGGAGCAGAGGAAUCCAGCAACAUGCAGCAGACUCCUGCGAGCAGUGUCCUGUGCUUGCUUAGGCAAUUAUACUCUGAAUUACUUCUUCGGCUCUCAUUCUGGCCUGUUUUCUGGUCCAGUCCACAGCUGUAUAUCACUCUCUGUUGCCAUCAGAAGAAAUGUUCCAGCUUUGUGUUGGUGUAACAGAAAACUGGAUCUGGCUCACUGAGUUAGCGUGCUACAGGAAAUGAUGCUUGAAUGCUGCUGCAUGCAUUAGGAGAACAAGAAUUCUUUCUCCAACAGAACACACUUUGUUCAGUGCCAGUAAUAUCACAGGUGAGGACCAAACGGAAAACCUUUCAACAUAAACAAAGAAAACAAUAUAACACAACUGGCAAGCUUUUCAUCUCUCGUGUCACAGGGAGAUGCUGUCAGGAUGAGAAGUUAACACAUGGGAGCCAGCUGUAGCAACUAAAUGUCUCAAGGAAACUUGUUCUUACAUAAUGAAAUCCAUUCACAAGGAGUAUCACAGAAAGUUGGAGUGACCUGAUAAAACUCUGAGGAGAUUACCAGAUUCAUUCUUGGAAAGGCAAGAAAGUGAAGCUCAAAGCCUG
rnacentral:lncRNA from 1 species